UGAUUACUUUGGUGGCCUCUCCGCCUU
rnacentral:piRNA from 1 species